rnacentral:lncRNA from 1 species
GGUAAAAACUAUGUUUUUUGUAUCUACAAUAAUAUUCUGAUCCCCAAUCUAAUGAGAGAAAAAAAUCUGGACUAGCAGAUGACAAAAAAAAAUCUGAAUCCAAGUUUCCCCCAUACCUUAUAGUGUUAAAUAUUGAAAAAAAGAUAAUUUGAUCAUUGAUGGCGUUGAAAGACAAAAUAAGUAUGCAAAUAGCGCGAAAAUUUUUUCUGACUCAAACAAAAAAAAUCCCCCACCCGUCUUUUGAAGCUUCCUAAAAGAUUUGAAAACAAUCAGCAACACGUUUGUUUUCGGAUUAUUUAUUUUUGUACUGCCUCUUGAAACCAUUACCUCCACUUAAAAUAAAAAUAUAUUUAUGUAUCGUAUUUCGUGGCAGACUAUAAUUAAUUGACAAUAGGGCAUUGUAUUACUAACGAGUAAUAGUAUUAGGAGAAAUGUACUUUUCAAGCGAUCCGCGUAAUACGUUUUUGUCAUCUACAAUAACUUAUACUUUUAUUAAUAUAUCUUUAAAUGCUGAUGUUAAUUCAAAAAAAA